rnacentral:rRNA from 1 species
GCUAAACGCGAAGAACCUUACCAAGGCUUGACAUGGAUUUCUAAGCACGUGAAAGCGUGUGACCCUUCGGGGGACUUCCACAGGUGCUGCAUGGCCGUCGUCAGCUCGUGUCGUGAGAUGUUGGGUUAAGUCCCGCAACGAGCGCAACCCCUGUGAUCAGUUGCCAGCAUGUAAUGAUGGGGACUCUGGUCAGACUGCCCAGAUCAACUGGGAGGAAGGUGGGGACGACGUCAGGUCAGUAUGGCCCUUACGCCUUGGGCUGCACACGUACUACAAUGGUCGGUACAGAGGGUUGCCAAACCGCAAGGUGGAGCCAAUCCCAGAAAGCCGAUCCCAGUCCGGAUCGGAGUCUGCAACUCGACUCCGUGAAGUCGGAAUCGCUAGUAAUCGCGGAUCAGCUAUGCCGCGGUGAAUACGUUCCCGGGUCUUGUACACACCG